rnacentral:rRNA from 1 species
AGUGAACGCUGGCGGUAGGCCUAACACAUGCAAGUCGAACGGCAGCACAGGAGAGCUUGCUCUCUGGGUGGCGAGUGGCGGACGGGUGAGGAAUACAUCGGAAUCUACUUUUUCGUGGGGGAUAACGUAGGGAAACUUACGCUAAUACCGCAUACGACCUACGGGUGAAAGCAGGGGACCUUCGGGCCUUGCGCGAUUGAAUGAGCCGAUGUCGGAUUAGCUAGUUGGCGGGGUAAAGGCCCACCAAGGCGACGAUCCGUAGCUGGUCUGAGAGGAUGAGCAGGCACACUGGACCUGAGACACGGUCCAGACUCCUACGGGAGGCAGCAGUGGGGAAUAUUGGACAAUGGGCGCAAGCCUGAUCCAGCCAUACCGCGUGGGUGAAGAAGGCCUUCGGGUUGUAAAGCCCUUUUGUUGGGAAAGAAAUCCAGCUGGCUAAUACCCGGUUGGGAUGACGGUACCCAAAGAAUAAGCACCGGCUAACUUCGUGCCAGCAGCCGCGGUAA